UGCUGACGGGGCUCUUUCCAAUACAAACAAAGCAGAGAGAUCAGGUGCACUGUCCACAGUGAAAGUCAUUAGAUCAUUUAAUCGUUGGCGAGCUGUUGUGUCCUGGAACGCAACAUUAUCCGGCCUUCCAGAAGUUCCACAUGGUUCUGCUUCGGCACAUAUCCAUCGCCCUAACAGCAGUAGUGGCUGCAUUCGGGUCCGCGAUGUUUAUCGCGUUAAAUUAUUUAUAUAGAAGGCGAAUAUGGUCUCCCCAAGCGGAAUAUUAUAUGAACAAAGAGUUAAAUUUCAGAACUGCAAGCUUCUCAGAAAUCCCUGCUCUCCUGCUCCUGACUCCUACCUCUCACCAAGAGAGACGCACCUUAUCACAGAAUCCCGCACCAGUUAUGGAGUCAGCACGGAGAGGAUGCACUCCCAGGGUCAGUGGAGGAGCGAGUUCAACACCACAGGGCAGUGUUACACCGGCUGGGGACCGCCAUGGAUCAGGUGAUGGCGACGAUGGAGAGAUGGGAGAGAGGUGGCCUUCCCACACCUUUAUCAGCCACACCCCAACCAGUACCACUACCCUCUCCUUCAUUGCCUGGGCACAGUGGGAUUCGACUCGCCAUCCCGAGGGAGUACGAUGGGACGGCGGCCGGGUGCCAGGGGUUCUUACUCCCGAUGGACCUAUACCUGGCGACCAUUCGUCCGGCUCCUUCGGGAGGUGAGAGCGUGAACGCCCUCGUCUUCUGCCUCUCAGGUAAAGCCCUGGAGUGGGCCAACGCGGUAUGGAACGAUCCUGACUCAGCAAGGGACCACUACCCAGAGUUCAACCGCCACUUUCGGGCUGUGUUCGAUCACCCACCUGAGGGUCGAGCGGCGGGUGAACGGCUGUUCCAUCUGAGGCAGGAGAAGAGGAGUGCUCAGGACUUUGCUUUAGAGUUCCGGACCUUGGCCGCUGGCGCGGGAUGGAACGACAGGGCCUUGAUCGAUCACUAUAGGUGUAGUUUGCCUGAGGACGUCCGUAGGGAGCUGGCCUGUAGAGACACCACCCUCUCCUUGGACCAGUUGAUCGACAUUUCCAUUCGGUUGGACAACUUGCUGGCGACCCAUGGACGUCCAGAUCGGGCUCUGUCAGUUCCAUCCCCCAGCUCCACCACUCCAAAGCCCAUGGAGCUAGGAGGUGCUGCAGCGAGGGCGGUUGGAGGAGGGGGCCUUUCCUGUGCCAGCUGUGGUCGCAGAGGGCACACUGCUGACCGGUGCUGAGGGGGUCCUCCAGGGAGUCGAGACACCAAGCCGAGCACUGCUCGGACACCUCAGGCCGGUGGUGGCUGGUCCGCUUCAAGAAGAUGAGGUGCGGGAGGUCCCUCCGCCCCCCCCCUGGACAUCGGGGGGUGCCUGCGUAUGCAGUUUGGUCCAUACUGGACUCGAGGCGUCAGGAGGAGGGUGGACAGCGCCAGGUGCUAGUCCUUGGCCUAGACGGAGCUGGGAAGAGCAGUAUGCUUCAGGGGUUGACAGCUACAGACGGAGACAAGAGAGGGCACUGCCGUCCCACCAGGGGUUUCAACUUUAUGAGCCUCAGUGCCCCUGCCCGUCAGCUGGAAUUCCUAGAAAUUGGAGGGGCUGAGGAUUUGCGUAUGUACUGGGCAGAGUACCUGGGGAAGACGCAUGCCCUUGUGCUUGUUUGUAGGUGACCAAAUACUUAUUUUCCACCAUAAUUUGCAAAUAAAUUCAUAAAAAAUUCUACAAUGUGA